CAUGGGUGGCCAGAGGCGGACGGGUGUAGAAUAUGUCUAAAUCUACUUUUUCAUGGGGAUUAACCUAGGAAAACUUACCCUAAUACCGCAAACAACCUACAGGUGAAAGCUGGGGACCUUCGGGCCUUGCCCGAUUGAAUGAGCCGAUGUCGGAUUAUCUAAUUGGCGGGGUAAAGGCCCACCAGGGCGACAAUCCGUAGCUGGUCUGAGAAGAUGAUCAGCCGCUCUGCAACUGAGACACUGUCCAAACUCCUACAGGAGGCAGCGAUGGGGAAUAUUGGACUCUGGGCCCAAGCCUGAUCCUCCCAUACCGCGUGGGUGAAUAAGGCCUUCGGGUUUUAAAGCCCUUUUGUUGGGAAAUAAAUCCAGCUGGCUUGUACCCGGUUGGGAUGACCGUACCCAAAGAAUAAACCCCGACUACCUUCGUGACAUACGCCCCGGCAAUACCAAGGGUGCAUACGUUACUCGCAUUUACUGGACUUAAAGCGUGCAUAGGUGGUCCUUGAGGUCCCUUGUGUCAGCCCUGAGCUCACCCUGCUAACUGCAGUGGAUACUGUGCGACUAGAGUGAGGUAAAUGGUAACGAAAUUCCUGGAAUUCCAUGUGAAAUGCGUAAAGAUCAUGAAGAACAUCCAUGGCGAAGGCAGCUACCGGGACUUUCACUGACGCUGCUGCACUGAGGCGUGGGGAGCAAACAGGAUUAAAUACACUGGUACCCACGCCCUACACGAUGCAAACUGUGAUGUUGGGUGCGAUUUGGCACUCCGCUCUAAGCUGACGCGUUAACUCAUCACCUGGGCAGUACGGGCAGUACGACUGAAACUGCAAGAAGAAUUGACGGAGGUCCCCGCAGCAGCCGGUAGGAGUAUGUGGGUUCAAUUUCGAUGCAAUCGCGAACAACCC
rnacentral:rRNA from 1 species